rnacentral:misc_RNA from 1 species
AAAAGUAUUACAAUCAUAAUCCUGUUGUACAAUUUGGCCAACUUUAGAUUGCUUAGCUGUAGUUCUCUAAAAACAACCAAAUGUGCAUACAUAAAAACCAGUUACCACAUCAAGUGCCAGCAGUAGCUUUUAGCUAAACAAUAGCAAUUUAACGUUAAAACAACCCAACCAAGAAAAAGAUCAAAGGAACCGCUUAAACAUCAAAAUCCAAACACAUUUUUGCAUUAUUUAUAUACUUG